rnacentral:rRNA from 1 species
CGAAAGCCUGACGGAGCAACGCCGCGUGAGGGAAGAAGGCCUUAGGGUUGUAAACCUCUUUUCUCAAGGAAGAAGAUCUGACGGUACUUGAGGAAUAAGCCCCGGCCAACUCCGUGCCAGCAGCCGCGGUAAUACGGAGGAGGCAAGCGUUAUCCGGAAUUAUUGGGCGUAAAGCGUCCGCAGGCGGUUUAUUAAGUCUGUUGUUAAAGCUCAGGGCUCAACCCUGAAUCGGCAAUGGAAACUGGUUGACUAGAGUGUGGUAGGGGUAGAGGGAAUUCCCGGUGUAGCGGUGAAAUGCGUAGAUAUCGGGAAGAACACCAGUGGCGAAGGCGCUCUACUGGGCCACAACUGACGUUGAGGGACGAAAGCUAGGGGAGCG